GGGAGAGAAGAACAUUCCAUCCUGUUAGAGUAAAAGGCUUCCAUCAAUGCACAGGAAAUAUGCCAGUCAUAACCUUUACAUAAACAGACUCUUCAUCCUGGAGACCCGUGUCACUCUGUGGUUGUCCUUCACCUUGUUCCCUAAGUCCAC